AGGCAGUAUUUUUUGUUAUUAAAGCUAAACACCUUUAAUAGCGGAAAAUUUUUUGCAAUAAUGUCGUGGUGUGGUAAAUUGGGACUAUAUAAGUUUAACGACGCGAUUUAUCGGGAAAUAUCCUAAAGUGGAAACAAUAAAAUGUCUCCUUUGAAAAGUACUCUUUCAUUUUCGAUUUUUUACAUUUGCCUAUUAAUGGCAUCCUAUUGUUAUGCGACGGAUAAUUGUAUAACUUAUGCUCAACGAUGUGAUAAUAAUCCUAAACAAUGUUGUGACAAUUUACAAUGUUUGCCAGCUUUUAUUGGUUAUAUAUGCCGUUAAAGGUGAAUUUGUAUUUUUUCGAAAUAAAAGGUUUUUUGGAAAAAUUAUCAAUCUGGUCAAGGACUAAAUAAAAAAUUGGAACACUUUUUGACAAAUUAGUAAUGAUUUUUUGUCUUCGUUGUUAAUAUGAAUAAAAAUAUUUUAUAUAGACAAAAAUUGUUAUAUUUUUUGGUAAAUAUUUAUUCUUAAUUUCAGAAUAAAUUUUUUUUUCGGUUGUAUUUUUUUACUGAAUGUUUAGAAAACAAUUUUUUCCUUAUUGUUAUCUGACGUGCGUUAUUGCAAAUAAUUUUUUUUUUGUUUAACUUCAGUAGCAAAAGUUUUGUCUGUCUGCGGCUACUAUAUAUAUUCGAAAAUUUCAUAAAAAAUAUAAAACGAGAAUAAAAAUUUGGAAAAAAUGAGAACUAAUUUUUUAUUUGCAAUUUUUUGCGUAUAUUUUUUCGCGUUCUUUAAAAAUACAUUUUCACAAUGCGUACCAGGUUUUCAACGUUGCGAUGAACAACCAUUUAAAUGUUGUAGUGGAUUUAAAUGCAAACCGGCUUUUAUUGGAUAUUUGUGUCUCGAUGGUCCUUGAAAAUAGAAAUUAUCUUUACUUUUCAGUUUAGAGCUUUUUUGAUGAUUGGAAAUUUUUUCGAAGUAAACAACUAAGUUUUAUAAAGACGAAAACUUAUUUUAUAAAAAAAUGAAAAAUUGCAAAAUAUUCAAAUUUCGAUCUAGAUAAAUUUCUGUUUCAAGAAUCAAUUAAAAUAUAUCAAGUUUAUAUAAAUGAAAUAAAAAAAAAAUAUAAUAGAUUUAUGAAAAUUUUAUGUAAUAGAUUUUAACUGCCAA